UACGUAGGGGGCAAGCGUUGUCCGGAUUCAUUGGGCGUAAAGAGCGUGUAGGCGGCCAGGUAGGUCGGUUGUGAAAACUGGAGGCUCAACCUUCAGAGGUCGACCGAAACCAUCUGGCUAGAGUCCGGGAGAGGAGAGUGGAAUUCCUGGUGUAGCGGUGAAAUGCGCAGAUAUCAGGAAGAACACCCGUGGCGAAAGCGGCUCUCUGGUACGUGACUGACGCUGAGACGCGAAAGCGUGGGGAGCAAACAGG
rnacentral:rRNA from 1 species